rnacentral:rRNA from 1 species
UUUCAAUAGCCGCUAUUGUGCUAAGGUAGCAUAAUCAUUUGUCUUUUAAUUAUAGACCGGAACAAAAGAUUAAACAUUUUAAUAAAUUUAUUAAUUUAAAAAUUAAAAUUUUUCUAAAUGUAAAAAAACAUUUAUAAAAAAGAAAGACGACAAGACCCUAUUGAACUUAACUUUAGUUAAACUGGGGAAGUUAAUUAAUUAUAAUUUUAAUUUAAAUUAAAAUUAACAAUAGCUUAUUAAAUAAAUAUACAAGUUACCAUAGGGAUAACAGCGUUAUAAAUUUUUAAAGACCUUAUAAAAAAAUUUGUUUACGACCUCGAUGUUGAAUUAAUUUUCUUUUAUAAGCAAAAAUAUAUAAUAGAUGGUCUGUUCGACCAUUAAAUAAUUACAUGAUUUGAGUUCAGACCGGUGUAAGCCAGGUCGGUUUCUAUCUUCUUAUUUAAUUUUAUAGUACGAAAGGACCAAAAAAAAUAAUAAUAUUAAAAAUAUUGGCAGAAUAAUGCAUUAGAAUUAGAAUCUAAUUAAAAUAUA